AAAAUAUCACCGAAGAGGAGUUAAAGGCUUCGUGACCAUUCUCUCUCUCCCAAUUCCAAAACACUUAUCCCAAAUUCCAUCCCCAUCGCCGACUUCCCCCAAAUCCAUCCCCGUCACCGCUAACCGAACCCUCCCCCAACUCCGGAGUCCCCGUCACCGCCGACCGACCUCCUCCAUCAACGCAGUAAAGCCCUCGACUCCUCCCCCAACUCCGGCUCCAAGUCACCGCCGACCGACCUCCUCCAUCAAGCCAUCAAGCCACCGACCUCUCCCCCAACUCCGGCUCCAAGUCACCGCCGACCGACCUCCUCCAUCAAGCCAUCAAGCCACCGACCUCUCCCCCAACUCCGGCUCCAAGUCACCGCCGGUCAUUAAAGGAGUAUUGGAAUUUUCAAUCGUGCACAAUGCAGCGUUAUUUGCUUCGCUUGCUAUUCAAAGAGGAUUAGUAUAAUUGAUUCAGAUACUGUAUUCAAGAAUGAAAAUUUGCAGACGUGAUGUUUGAUUCAGAUAGAUGCAGGAAUUUGUUGUCUCCUACUUGAUGUAUAAUAGCUGUUGUAACUAAACUAUGUUUGAUUGUAGCUCUGUUAUUACUCACUGAUUGUAACUAAACUAUGUUUGAUUGUAGUUGCUCGUGCAACUUGUCAAUUUGAGAAUGUUUCUCAAAUUCUGCCUUUUGAGUCAAAUUCUAGCUUGUAAUUUUUUUUUGUUUGAAUUUCAUUUGACAGGCUUCAGUUUGUGCUUCAGAAUUGUAGCUUUGUUGAUGAA